AUUGAACGCUGGCGGCAGGCCUAACACAUGCAAGUCGAACGAGUGGCGGACGGGUGAGUAAUGUCUGGGAAACUGCCUGAUGGAGGGGGAUAACUACUGGAAACGGUAGCUAAUACCGCAUACCAUAGGAUGAGCCCAAGUGGGAUUAGCUAGUGGGUGGGGUAAAGGCCCACCAAGCCGACGAUCCCUAGCUGGUCUGAGAGGAUGACCAGCCACACUGGGACUGAUACACGGUCCAGACUCCUACGUGAGGCAGCAGUGGGGAAUAGUGCACAAUGGGCGCAACCCUGAGGUAGCCAUGCCGCGGGAAUGAAGAAGGCCUUCGGGUUGUAAAGUUCUUUCAGCGGGGAGGCGUGACCCACAGAAUAAGCACCGGCUAACUCCGUGCCAGCAGCCGCGGUAAUUC
rnacentral:rRNA from 1 species